rnacentral:rRNA from 1 species
CCCUUAGAUGUUCUGGGCCGCACGCGCGCUACACUGAUGCGUUCAACGAGUAUACAACCUUGAUCGAUAGGUCUGGGUAAUCUUGUGAAUGCGCAUCGUGCUAGGGAUAGAUUGUUGCAAUUUUCAAUCUUGAACGAGGAAUUCCUAGUAAACGCAAGUCAUCAGCUUGCAUUGAUUACGUCCCUGCCCUUUGUACACACCGCCCGUCGCACCUACCGAUUGAAUGACUCGGUGAGCUCUUCGGACUGCGCGGUCUGCAGUUUCUGCGUUCCGUGCGGAAAGUUGCGCAAACCUUAACAUUUAGAGGAAGGAGAAGUCGUAACA